UCUAUCCUCCUCCCUUCUCCACCCCCAACAUGAGGAGAGCUGGGAACUUUGAGAGAGAGAGAGAAAUGGCCAACAAGUAACAAGACACAAACAGCAACGGAAAGGUUCCAUGGGUCAGCUCAAGAGAUUUAAAGGAACAGAAAAGAUGUGGCCUACUUUUUGGACCCUGGAAAUGGGAAUUGAAGGUCUAAAAAGUCAGAGAAAAAUGUCAGUGAAGAAUAACAAUCAUGGGUUUCUGCUGGUUAUGGCCUAGGUUGAGUCUUCUAUUCCUGUGCACAAACGAUGGCCUCACCAUUCCAGGAAGCAUCAAGAAUUCCCUGCCAAUAGUGAGACAAUAAUGGAAAAGCUCCAACUGUAAGAACUCCAAGAGUCCAUACCCCACGCCAUCAAAGAGAGUUGGAAGUCAAGUCUGGGCCCUUAUGUCUUGAGUCAUCAUCCAGUGACCAGCUCUACUAGAUGCAGAAAUCAUCCGGCAGCAGUUGAAAAUUGUCCUAUUAUUUACCCUCUUUUUCCUGUUCAGAAGAGCAGAUACCAGGGGACUCAACAAACAAAACCUGGUCUUUCCUAGAACUCAAGGAUUUAGAAUGGUUGUUGUACUCUCUUGAGACUUCCUGGAUCAAGGAGAAGGUUCAGACUAGAUUCUGGAUUAUAAAUAUGGUGGAGUAAAAGAAGCAGCGAUGAAUAGUGAAUGGAUAGAAAAUUAUAUCCUUUCCAUAGAAGGAAGAUCUGAGUUCAAGUCCCUCUUCUUACAAAGGCUGCCAAUAUGGCUUUGGAAAUUUCUCUCAUUGUUCUCCACAUAUCAGACAAGUCAGCUGGCAAAGAGCUUGAGGACUGAGUGGCAGGGGAGAAAGAAAAAGAGGAAGAAUGAAGAUAGUAGUCAUGGAAGAGGAAACUUGAGACUGGCAGAGGAAGAGAGGGAGAGGAAUGAAAGGAAGAAUGAGGCAAAAAGGAGGAGAGAAAAACAGAAGAAGGGAAAGGUAAAAGAAAAGAAAGGAAGAGGAACAAAAGAGAGAGAUAAAGAAAAAAGGAAGAG
rnacentral:lncRNA from 1 species